GACGAACGCUGGCGGCGUGCCUAAUACAUGCAAGUCGAACGCUGAAGAGAGGAGCUUGCUCUUCUUGGAUGAGUUGCGAACGGGUGAGUAACGCGUAGGUAACCUGCCUUGUAGCGGGGGAUAACUAUUGGAAACGAUAGCUAAUACCGCAUAACAAUGGAUGACACAUGUCAUUUAUUUGAAAGUGGCAAUUGCUCCACUACAAGAUGGACCUGCGUUGUAUUAGCUAGUAGGUGAGGUAAUGGCUCACCUAGGCGACGAUACAUAGCCGACCUGAGAGGGUGAUCGGCCAACCUGGGACUGAGACCCGGCCCAGACUCCUACGGGAGGCAGCAGUAGGGAAUCUUCGGCAAUGGGGGCAACCCUGACCGAGCAACGCCGCGUGAGUGAAGAAGGUUUUCGGAUCGUAAAGCUCUGUUGUAAGUCAAGAACGGGUGUGAGAGUGGAAAGUUCACACUGUGACGGUAGCUUACCAGAAAGGGACGGCUAACUACGUG
rnacentral:rRNA from 1 species